rnacentral:misc_RNA from 1 species
UCGAGACCGAACGAACGGACGACCGCGAACGUGUUACAUCCUCAACUCACUACUCCGUCCCGUCCCGCCGCCCCCCCGCGGUGCGGCGCGGCGGGACGGAGGAAACGAAACCCCGGCGCGGUGGGCGCCAAGGAACACUUUUUUGGAAGCGCCGUCGCGGCCCUCCCCGCCUCGCCCCGUCCGUAACAGGACGGGGAGGGAGGAGGGGGGAACGCGGGCGUGGAAAUAGAUAUCGUAUUCUGUACGACUCUCGACAACGGAUAUCUAGGCUCUCGCAUCGAUGAAGAACGUAGCGAAAUGCGAUACUUGGUGUGAAUUGCAGAAUCCCGUGAACCAUCGAGUCUUUGAACGCAAGUUGCGCCCGAGGCCAUCCGGUCGAGGGCACGCCUGCCUGGGCGUCACGCCUCCCGUCGCUCCCCACAGCCGUGCGGAUGCGGAGAUUGGCCCGCCGUGCCCCGUGCGCGGCGGGUCGAAGUGCGGGCCGUCGUUGGGCAAGGCGCGGCGAAUGGUGGACGAACGCACCGUUGUUUGUUUGUUUUGUGCCUACUCUCCGUGUCCUCGCCCCGAACAACGCGACGUGCCGUCGUCGGACCCCUCACCAGGGACCCUUUCUGCUUCCCAACAACGGGGAGAAGGAAUCGUCCUCGGAACG